rnacentral:rRNA from 1 species
UGGGGAAUAUUGCACAAUGGAGGGAACUCUGAUGCAGCGACGCCGCGUGAACGAAGAAGGCUUUCGAGUCGUAAAGUUCUUUUAUAUGGGAAGAUAAUGACGGUACCAUAAGAAAAAGCCCCGGCUAACUACGUGCCAGCAGCCGCGGUAAUACGUAGGGGGCUAGCGUUGUCCGGAAUCACUGGGCGUAAAGGGUUCGCAGGCGGAAAUGCAAGUCAGGUGUAAAAGGCAGUAGCUUAACUACUGUAAGCAUUUGAAACUGCAUAUCUUGAGAAGAGUAGAGGUAAGUGGACUUUUUAGUGUAGCGGUGAAAUGCGUAGAUAUUAAAAAGAAUACCGGUGGCGAAGGCGACUUACUGGGCUCAUUCUGACGCUGAGGAACGAAAGCGUGGGUAGCAAACAGG